rnacentral:lncRNA from 1 species
GUUGAUGACAAGGCCAAAUUUAAUAGGCAAGGUCUCUCUGACAUGGCCAGUGUAGAAAAUAAAUAUGGCAAGGUCAUUUAAAUAUAUUGUAAGCUAGUAGUAAAGUAUAGUAGAUUAUAUUUCUAUUUCAUAUGCACGUUUUUCAGAUAUUUUUUCAUGUGGAGUAUGGAAAUCCUUGCCUAAGCCAGUCGACCAAGAUUUGUCAUCUUUAUCUAAUUGCCUACCUGAGUUCUGUCUGCGUUCGAAGGCCGAGAAUACCAAAAGAAAAUAUUCAUAUGCAUUUAACAAUUUCUGUAAGUGAUGUAAUAACUAUUUAUUAUGUUAAACCUUUACCAGCUUCAGAUUUUUAUGUUUCAUUGUACUUAAUACAACUAUCAAAGACAUUUAAUUCAUAUGCUAAGGUUGAAGAAGCAUAUUAUUCCAUAAGCUGGGCUCAUAAACUAGCUGGCUAUCCCAAUCCGUGUUAUUCACAGUUGUGUAUAUCGGUUAAAGAAGGAGCUCAUAGAAAGAUUAUUGGACAUGUUAUUGUAAAUAAAAAAGAACCAAUUAAGCCAGAUAUUUUAAAGAAAAUUGUUAUUAAAUAUGGUCAAGAAUGUAACAAUCUUAUAGAAAUUAGAAUUUGUUGUAUGUGUCUUAUUAGCUAUGCAGGGUUUUUAAGAUUUUCUGAAAUGGUAAAUUUAAAAAGAUCUGAUUUAAAAUUAUCUGAUACACAUGCAUCUUUGCUCAUACAGAAAAGCAAAACUGAUCAUUAUAGAGAAGGCACACAGGUUUUAAUUGCUAGAACAGAUACACAAACAUGUCCUGUUAGUAUGUUGGGAGAAAUGUUAAUUAUUAUCCAAUAUUGACACAUCAUCUUCAAAUUAUAUAUUUAGAUCCAUGUAUUGAUGUAAAAAAUCUAAGUCUUAUAACCUGAGACUGACUCAGUGAGAGGUCUUAAACCUUUAUCAUAUACUAGAGUAAGAGAAAUUAUAUUAUCAGCUCUUGAAUCUAUCGGUUUAGAUAAGUCCAAAUUUGGAUUACAUAGCUUGAGAUCAGGUGGAGCUACUGCAGCUGCAUCAGCUGGCAUUCAUGAUAGAUUAUUUAAGAAGCAUGGUAGAU